rnacentral:rRNA from 1 species
AACGAACGCUGGCGGCAGGCCUAACACAUGCAAGUCGAGCGAAGCCUUCGGGCUUAGCGGCGGACGGGUGAGUAACGCGUGGGAACGUGCCCUUUGGUACGGAAUAGCCCCGGGAAACUGGGAGUAAUACCGUAUGUGGUCGAGAGACGAAAGAUUUAUCGCCAAAGGAUCGGCCCGCGUUGGAUUAGGUAGUUGGUGGGGUAAUGGCCUACCAAGCCGACGAUCCAUAGCUGGUUUGAGAGGAUGAUCAGCCACACUGGGACUGAGACACGGCCCAGACUCCUACGGGAGGCAGCAGUGGGGAAUCUUAGACAAUGGGGGAAACCCUGAUCUAGCCAUGCCGCGUGAUCGAUGAAGGCCUUAGGGUUGUAAAGAUCUUUCAGUGGGGAAGAUAAUGACUGUACCCACAGAAGAAGCCCCGGCUAACUCCGUGCCAGCCGCCGCCGUAAUAC